AUUUGUCGAUCAGAAACCGGGCAGGUAAGUGCGCAAUGGUUCGAUGCACUCGCCUCCUCCCCCGUCCCUCCCUUUUAUCCAUCUCUUUUCCCUCUCUCCCUCCCCCAUUCACGUUCCAUUCAUUUCACUAUCGAAUCUUUAUCCGACCGUUCCAUCCCGAUUCCACCCUUUGUCCCAUGCCGGGGCUUUGUUCUCCUAUGAACGGGCCGCCGGGACGCGCACGCGCUCGCGGUACCAAAUCGCACGAAUAGUCAAUUAUAAGGGGUUUAGCCGGACGUAAUUGCGAUUUAAAUGUCUUAUUGCGCCGCAUUAACCGCGAAGGCAUAAUUCAAAACGCCCUCGCGUGCCUCCACGCUCUUCCGCUUCCCAACCUGCGCGCGCAGCUUCGUUUAUAUAUAUGGCGGACGGCUCGGUUACCGUCCGGCGUUAUCGGAGCUAUUUAAAAGAUACGAGAGAGGGAAUGUACAAGGAGUGAAAUUUUCGGUGUGCGUUGUGUUUUCAUUGAAAUAACUAUUCUAGGAUAAUUCCUUUUUUUUAAGGAAGGGAAAUAUCAAGUUUUCGGCUAUUUAUCGUUUUAUUUGAAUUAUUCAAAUCUAACCUCAAUUAAUUCAACAUUUUAAUCUAAUCUGUUAUUUCGGAUUACCUAUUCCAUUUUUAAAAAUUUAAACAAUCAUUCUAAUCUUAUCAACAGUCGAUAACCAAUGGCCAAUCAAAGAAUCGUUAGUCUUCCACUGAACGAGUGAUUUAUUUGUGAUACACGUUUCAACAGCUUGGAAAAGUCGAACAAUUUAUCGAUGGAAAAAAAUAAAACGAGACGUAUCCAAUGAAUUCUUUCGUUCGUCGCUGGAUUCUUGCCUCUUGUCGCCGUAUCCGGUAUUAAUAACCAAACCGUCAUAUUUGCAUGCGGCCGAGCGCCUUUGACCAACACGCGCUCGACCGAUCGGUUUUAUUACGUAUGCCUCGAUGAUUAUUUAAAAGCCGUAAUUCCCGCCUACAGGGCCGGCACUAUAUGUAACGCGAAAAUUGCCCCAAAUAUAACAAAAUAAAUCAAAA